rnacentral:rRNA from 1 species
CCUACGGGGGGCUGCAGUGGGGAAUAUUGGACAAUGGGGGGAACCCUGAUCCAGCGACGCCGCGUGAGUGAAGAAGUAUUUCGGUAUGUAAAGCUCUAUCAGCAGGGAAGAAAGAAAUGACGGUACCUGACUAAGAAGCCCCGGCUAACUACGUGCCAGCAGCCGCGGUAAUACGUAGGGGGCAAGCGUUAUCCGGAUUUACUGGGUGUAAAGGGAGCGUAGACGGCGAUGCAAGUCUGAAGUGAAAGGCGGGGGCCCAACCCCCGGACUGCUUUGGAAACUGUAUGGCUGGAGUGCAGGGGAGGUAAGUGGAAUUCCUAGUGUAGCGGUGAAAUGCGUAGAUAUUAGGAGGAACACCAGUGGCGAAGGCGGCUUACUGGACUGUAACUGACGUUGAGGCUCGAAAGCGUGGGGAGCAAACAGGAUUAGAUACCCUUGUAGUC